UGUCUCCUUUUCCCUGGGCCUCUACCUCAAAUACCUCAGGCCAGACCUGUGGAAGCGUCUGGGGCAAGAGGCGGGUACCUUUUACUGGAUUUGUAUUCUGCGUACACCCAGAUACAAGUUGGGCAUACUUAACCAGAAAAAAAAAAUUUACCUGAGGUCAACAGCAAUCUGGAAGCACAUGAUCCUUCCUCUGAUGAAUGAUUAGAAUUAUUAGAAGGUCAAUAGUCACUUAACACGAUGCCUGCACCAUUCAUGUCACUUUAUCUCAUCAUAUAAGCAUUUUGCCAUCUCAUGUCAUCACAAAAAGAAGGGUGACUUUGCUAUUCCUCCCAUCAGGAUGUCAAGUAUAUUUUCCCACCCCUUGAUGAUGAGUUUGGCCAUUUGCUUUGUUUUGGCCAAUGGAAUAAUAGUGGAUAUGAUGCAAGAGGAAGCAUGAAAACCUGGGCUUGCUUUGUUGUGCUUCUGCCAUCACGAUGAGAAGGAUAGACCCAGCUAGCCCAUUAUCCCAGGAGGAAGGUGAGGAUCACGUGGAGCAGAACCCAGUCAUCCCACUAAGCACAGCCAAACCAGCUGCCAAGAUACAUAAGUGAGCCCAGGUCAAGAUGAGAGAUGUGGUCACUGGAAUUAAAAUUCUGCCAGUAAAUUACAAGUAGAGGAGCUAUGUGCAACAUCCAGAAUAUGUUUUUAAAGAGAAUAGUCGUGCUCUUCUUGUCCUUCCUUCCAUAAUGGUUUGGAAUGUGGAUAUCUGGAGCUCCAGCAGCUACCUCGGAUCACAAGAACAAUGAUCAUAACCAAGAUCUCAGAGGAUUCAUGAACCAUAAGAAUACAGGUCCCUGAUGAAUUUGUGAUAAACCUGCCCUGGAUACCUACUUCUUGGUUUGUUUUACAUGAAAACAAAUAAAUGCAUAUU